AUAUCAAUAAGCGGAGGAAAAGAAACCAACAGGGAUUGCCCCAGUAACGGCGAGUGAAGCGGCAACAGCUCAAAUUUGAAAUCUGGCUCUCAGGGCCCGAGUUGUAAUUUGUAGAGGAUGCUUUUGGCGAGGUGCCUUCCGAGUUCCCUGGAACGGGACGCCACAGAGGGUGAGAGCCCCGUAUGGUCGGACACCGAGCCUCUGUAAAGCUCCUUCGACGAGUCGAGUAGUUUGGGAAUGCUGCUCAAAAUGGGAGGUAUAUGUCUUCUAAAGCUAAAUAUUGGCCAGAGACCGAUAGCGCACAAGUAGAGUGAUCGAAAGAUGAAAAGCACUUUGAAAAGAGGGUUAAAAAGUACGUGAAAUUGUUGAAAGGGAAGCGCCUAUGACCAGACUUGCGCCCGGUGAAUCACCCAGCGUUCUCGCUGGUGCACUUUGCCGGGCACAGGCCAGCAUCAGUUCAGCGCGGGGGAGAAAGGCUUCGGGAAUGUGGCUCCCUCGGGAGUGUUAUAGCCCGCUGCGUAAUGCCCUGCGCCGGACUGAGGUACGCGCAUUGCAAGGAUGCUGGCGUAAUGGUCAUCAGCGACCCGUCUUGAAACACGGACCAAGGAGUCGUCUUCGUAUGCGAGUGUUCGGGUGUCAAACCCCUACGCGUAAUGAAAGUGAACGUAGGUGAGAGCUUCGGCGCAUCACCGACCGAUCCUGAUGUUCUCGGAUGGAUUUGAGUAAGAGCAUACGGGGCCGGACCCGAAAGAAGGUGAACUAUGCCUGUAUAGGGUGAAGCCAGAGGAAACUCUGGUGGAGGCUCGCAGCGGUUCUGACGUGCGAAUCGAUCGUCAAAUAUGGGCAUGGGGGCGAAAGACUAAUCGAACCU
rnacentral:rRNA from 1 species